rnacentral:rRNA from 1 species
CAGUAGCCGCGGUAAUACAGAGGGUGCGAGCGUUAAUCGGAUUUACUGGGCGUAAAGCGUGCGUAGGCGGCUUCUUAAGUCGGAUGUGAAAUCCCUGAGCUUAACUUAGGAGUUGCAUUCGAUACUGGGAAGCUAGAGUAUGGGAGAGGAUGGUAGAAUUCCAGGUGUAGCGGUGAAAUGCGUAGAGAUCUGGAGGAAUACCGAUGGCGAAGGCAGCCAUCUGGCCUAAUACUGACGCUGAGGUACGAAAGCAUGGGGAGCAAACAGGAUUAGAUACCCGUGUAGUCCCUGUCUCUUAUAA